UAAGGAAUAUUGCGCAAUGGGGGAAACCCUGACGCAGCAACGCCGCGUGGAGGAUGACACUUUUCGGAGCGUACACUCCUUUUAUCAGGAAAGAAUAAUGACGGUACCUGAUGAAUAAGCACCGGCUAACUCCGUGCCAGCAGCCGCGGUAAUACGGGGGGUGCGAGCGUUACUCGGAAUCACUGGGCGUAAAGGACGCGUAGGCGGAUUAUCAAGUCUUUUGUGAAAUCUAGUGGCUUAACCACUAAACUGCUUAGGAAACUGAUAGUCUAGAGUAGGGGAGAGGUAGAUGGAAUUCUUGGUGUAGGGGUAAAAUCCGUAGAGAUCAAGAAGAAUACCCAUUGCGAAAGCGAUCUGCUGGAACCUAACUGACGCUGAGGCGUGAAAGCGUGGGUAGCAAACAGG
rnacentral:rRNA from 1 species